GUUCGAAUGAAUGAGCAGGGUGCCUGUUGAGGCCAGCAGAAGGAGUAGCCUGAACCAACACAAUGGCGUAAACAGCUGACGAAGGAAGACACAAUCGCGGAUGAUUUGAAGCACAGGCACCUUCAGUGAAGAGAGCUGGAAAAGUUUGUGACGGUGAAAAGAAAAAUGGCAGCUGAGGCCGUGCUGCUCGAUUUACCCAUCAUCCCCUGCACUUCCACGUCCAUCAAAUCUCAUACGGUGACCUAAAUACUCUGACAACUCAAUCAGUCAAAGCGCAGUGACAUCAGCGCCACAAGGCAUCAUCAGCAGAUGAUGAACACACAAAAAAAGGAGCUGAAGUGGCCUGCAGAGCCACUGUCCACAAGGCGGGGGGAGUCGGUUUUGUUUGAUGGGAGUUGUGUUCAAAGUCCUGCGGCUGGCGCCGAGUUCAACAUCUGCUCCUGUCACACUCGGGGACGAGUGGCAGAGCGCCGUGGCGUGCUGGGCUGCAGCUCACAGCACACACGAGUACAGCCAUGGUGAGAGAGAAAAAAACGACUUCUACCGUACAUACUUCACAUGUUUGUGUCUCGGGUUGGGCUUCAUUUGAUGUGUGUCCUUGUCCAUUUUAAAAGGUUGAUAAGAAUGGCAACAUUUGAAAUAACUUUCAAAUUUUGCUAAAACUUUUUUACGCUAGCUUGAGGUGGUUUUUGGCUUGUCCAAAAAAGACGGAAGCGCUUUUUACGAAUGAGUUCUGACGCAGCGAACAUCCAGCUGUUUUCAGCCGUUUUCGCUUUUAGUGUCUCUGUUUUAGUUUCCUGUCUCUGGACAGUAUGCAACAUUGCCAAUACUAGUUGAGAUGACAGAAUUACAUCGCAUUCUUGAAAACCUCUCUCUGUGUUUUUCUGAUACGUGUGCUGCAUGCUGGUUUGCAGCCUUUACUUCCUUUUUCUUAUGGUCAGCAUCUGACUAAGUUGCACUUUAUGCAGCCUGGUUAAUUUGCUGCAAACCAGUGGAUGUAAACACGGCUAAAUUGCUUUUUCUUUUCCUGCGACAUUUUAGAAGCUAACUUAAAUUUUCCAUGUAGCUUAAAUUUCUGAAGAAGUGUCUGUUGCUUCCCAUAGCAACAUGUCCAGACACAUUGUCCAUUGCAAUUUAUCUGUCAGGGCCUCAACCAAUCCAUCGAGUUCAUAUGGGCUGUCCGCUGCUGGAAGCACCAGCGAUGGGCACGAGUGUCAGAACUGAACUUUGGUGAAUGAUGUUUUGAAAUGUUAUGCUGGGAAACAUUGGAUUCUUCUGUCCUUAUGGAUGCUAAUUUGAUAUGUAUAAUGUAUGAGCAUUUGCAUAAAAAUGAUCAGCUAGAGUUUCAGUCAAGUCUGAGUUCAUCAUAGCGCUGAAACAGGUCUACAUUUGCACUGGUCAAAAUGUCUUUAUAAAUGAAAGGACCAGCAAUGGGCUGGUUUAAGUCUGUUUUGUUUGACAGAUUCCAGUUUGUUCUUGUAAAUGAC